GUAGCCAAAGGUGGGUUUAAUGCUUCUGCUUUUGCAACAACUUAUAAAAUACAAAGUUAAAAAUAUGGUAUCAUUUUCAUCUGCAUUAAAAACUGGUCGUAUGCUUUGUUUUACUAUAUACACCUAAAUAAAGUAUAUUUUAGGUUAUUUUGUGCUCAAACCACAGCAUUAAGAAAGAUAAAGAAUCAUAUUUAUCAACAAACCAAAACGUCACAGCUGUACAAGGUGAAGAAAAGUCCUACAAAAAUAGUUCUGAGGUUUUGCUGCAGAUCUGACACCCAUCUGCUUUAAAGGAACAUUCACCACCCCCAACUGCACGGCCCUCAGCUGCACCUGCUGCAGCACUGCUCCGAGACCACAAAUACAGCACAGCUAUGGAAUAAAAUAGCAGGUCUUCACUCUGCUGAGCUAUUUCAGCUGCAACUCAUUUGUGUCGUUGCUGAUUCAUAAAUGCAUCUUGCCCAUUAAAAGGCAUGGGGCAAGCAAUCACAUCCUUCCUAAGGAUUCACUUUGAAGUUUAUGCGGAGAGUGGUUUCUUGUUUAUGUUUUAACCCCAAGCCAACUCAAGGGCUACCAAAAGGAGGGAGCUGCUAUCAAAACUAGAUAGAGUAUCUCUACUCCCUGCUAAUGAAUUUACUCCCUGGCCAUGGAAUUGCUCUGACAUACCCUGUAUUGUGUUCCUGGGGAAAGCAAAAGGCUGCAGUUAAACAAAGACCCAACCUGGGACACUACUGAUCAAUUAGAUCUGAUAUAAAAUGCAGCAUUACAUUUCGAGCAGUGCAAAGAAGGUACCACGGGCCCAUGUUCACACUGCAGGUUAAAAAUAGUACAGAGUUCUACUAUUUUCUUGAGCUGUAGAGAUGCAGUAAUCUCCAAGGACAGAGCUGAGAGUCACUGUGGACAGGGUAAUAAAAUACCUGCACAGUGCACAGUAACAAUGAGAAGACUGAUAUGAAGAAAUUGCAUUAAAAUCGAACAGAGUGUGACUUCAUCAGGGCUCUGUGAUGCAGCCAGGAGGAACUAUGACCAACCCUGGGAGUUAUGUAUGGUGGCACCUUACAAAAACCAAGUAAUGGUUACUCUGAAAGGAGAAGGAUUGCAAAGAGCGUGAUAGGAGCUACAGGGAUUGUAAAGAGAAUCAAUUAGUUCUCAUUCUGACUGUAUUCUAUUGACUAAAAUACAGUCAGGCUUUCAGCUAACAGAAGAAAUAUAUGCACUGCGAUCCAUUUAAAUGGAAAAUCAUCCUCUCGGUGUGAUGGUUCAUAGUGUAUUGCCCGUGCAUUAAAAACAAUAUGGUGC
rnacentral:lncRNA from 7 species